AGUCAUGCUUCACUUCACUCCUUUAUAACUGCCCUUGCUCUAUUCUCAUUCCCCAUUCCCUUUGAUUGUCUUGCAGGAACAGCUACAGUAUACAUUUAGAUAGAAGAAUGAACAGAAAAACAUUUUACCAUUUCAUUUUCAUACUUCUAUUUGGACAAGGUGUUAUCUGUGAUGAGAUCAGACUAGAUCAGUCUCCUGCUCAGGUGAAGACACCAGGAGGGACAGUUAAGAUCUCCUGUAAAAUAUCUGGAUUUGACAUGACAGAUUACUACAUGCACUGGAUCAGACAGAAACCAGGAGAGGCUUUGGAGUGGAUCGGAAGAAUGAACUCUGGAUCAGUUAAUUAUGCAGAGUCUCUGAAGGGCCAGUUCACCCUGACUGAAGACGUCCCCACCAGCAUGCAGUACUUAGAGGCCAAGAGUCUGAAAGCAGAGGACACUGCUGUUUACUACUGUGCACGACAGGCACAGUGACUGAAGCUGGUGAAG